rnacentral:rRNA from 1 species
AUUGAACGCUGGCGGCACGCUUUACACAUGCAAGUCGAACGGUAACAGGCCUUCGGUGCUGACGAGUGGCGAACGGGUGAGUAAUGCAUCGGAACGUGCCCAAUCGUGGGGGAUAACGUAGCGAAAGUUACGCUAAUACCGCAUAAGCCCUGAGGGGGAAAGUGGGGGACCGCAAGGCCUCACGCGAAUGGAGCGGCCGAUGUCAGAUUAGCUAGUUGGUGGGGUAAAGGCCCACCAAGGCGACGAUCUGUAGCGGGUCUGAGAGGAUGAUCCGCCACACUGGGACUGAGACACGGCCCAGACUCCUACGGGAGGCAGCAGUGGGGAAUUUUGGACAAUGGGCGCAAGCCUGAUCCAGCCAUGCCGCGUGCGGGACGAAGGCCUC